GGGUUGCUCCUUAUCCUUCUCUUUGCUAUGUUCUCCUUUUGUAGGUGGCCUCUUCCUCAUUUCUUGUCUUCUUUUCUUCAAAAACUUCUUAAACUUUUUAGUAAUGAGGGCCAUUUCUUCAUCCUACUCUUCAUUUUCUAUAUCAUCGGAUUCUUCAUCAGGUUGAGUAGUGGAUUUGAGGAUAAUUAUCCUCUUCUUUUUGACAUCUUUUUCUUGGUGUUGUUUCAUGCUUAGCUCGUAAGUCAUCAGUGAUUCUAGAAGCUCCUCCAAAGGUAAGAUAUUCAGAUCUUUGGCUUCUUGG
rnacentral:lncRNA from 1 species